UGGUUUUGCUUACUAUUGUGACAUAGCA
rnacentral:piRNA from 1 species